AUUGAACGCUGGCGGCAUGCCUUACACAUGCAAGUCGAACGGUAACAGGUCUUCGGAUGCUGACGAGUGGCGAACGGGUGAGUAAUACAUCGGAACGUGCCCGAUCGUGGGGGAUAACGAAGCGAAAGCUUUGCUAAUACCGCAUAAGAUCUACGGAUGAAAGCAGGGGACCGCAAGGCCUUGCGCGAACGGAGCGGCCGAUGGCAGAUUAGGUAGUUGGUGGGAUAAAAGCUUACCAAGCCGACGAUCUGUAGCUGGUCUGAGAGGACGACCAGCCACACUGGGACUGAGACACGGCCCAGACUCCUACGGGAGGCAGCAGUGGGGAAUUUUGGACAAUGGGCGAAAGCCUGAUCCAGCCAUGCCGCGUGCAGGAUGAAGGCCUUCGGGUUGUAAACUGCUUUUGUACGGAACGAAAAGACUCUUUCUAAUAAAGAGGGUCCAUGACGGUACCGUAAGAAUAAGCACCGGCUAACUACGUGCCAGCAGCCGCGGUAAAAC
rnacentral:rRNA from 1 species